GGCGGCGUGCCUAAUACAUGCAAGUCGAGCGAGCGGAACUAACAGAUUUACUUCGGUAAUGACGUUAGGAAAGCGAGCGGCGGAUGGGUGAGUAACACGUGGGGAACCUGCCCCAUAGUCUGGGAUACCACUUGGAAACAGGUGCUAAUACCGGAUAAGAAAGCAGAUCGCAUGAUCAGCUUUUAAAAGGCGGCGUAAGCUGUCGCUAUGGGAUGGCCCCGCGGUGCAUUAGCUAGUUGGUAAGGUAAAGGCUUACCAAGGCGAUGAUGCAUAGCCGAGUUGAGAGACUGAUCGGCCACAUUGGGACUGAGACACGGCCCAAACUCCUACGGGAGGCAGCAGUAGGGAAUCUUCCACAAUGGACGCAAGUCUGAUGGAGCAACGCCGCGUGAGUGAAGAAGGUUUUCGGAUCGUAAAGCUCUGUUGUUGGUGAAGAAGGAUAGAGGUAGUAACUGGCCUUUAUUUGACGGUAAUCAACCAGAAAGUCACGGCUAACUACGUG
rnacentral:rRNA from 1 species